rnacentral:rRNA from 1 species
GAGGGCCGUACUCGUCCGUCGCAUACGACCGCCGUCCCGGUUGCGAGCGCGUGCACGUCUCCACGAGCAGGACGUCGCGACCAGUCGGGAGCCAGCCUGAGGAUGGUGCGGCCAGGCCGCACGGACGGCACCCGAGACGUGACGAGCGGACCGCGCGGAGUCCCGACCGGCACACUCGACGGCAUAUAGCGAGCAGAACGAUUAGGGCCGCCACAAUGACGUGCGCGGUC